UCUUAGGCAGUGUGUAGUGCCUCCCUGCCCUGCCCAGGCAAGGGAGCAGGGGAACCUUCUGGUGACAUCACAGAGAGGAGCCAGGCAUGCAGUGGUCCCUCAGAAAACGGGGAGAGGCUGGCCAGCUGCGCUUAGGAGAGUCUGGAUGGAGAAACCAGGGAGAGAAAGAACCCCGGGAAGAGGAAGCUCAGGAAGGCACCCAGCAGCCAGAACCACCCAGCCAGGCCUGCACAAGAUGUGUGACCACAGAUGCUGGAGGGCACUUGUGCGUGGAUGUAUGCUACGUACACAGGUUAGGAUCUCACGGUUCAUUCGAGCCCUGCAUCAGGUGCUGUGUUGACAAUGCAGAGCCUGCUUGGGAUUCUUUCUCUCCUUCUCCCUCUGCCUCUCCCCUGCUCUCUCUCUCCCUCUCUCUCUCAAAAUAAAUAAAUAAA